rnacentral:lncRNA from 1 species
UUUUCUCCUUUGUUCAGUGUGCUCUUGCGAUCAUGACUGUUGCAGGCAGCACCCUUCUCAGAAGUAAAUUUGCCUUGCUGAGAAGUCUUUUGAGAGCUCAUUUUCUUUGCAACUCCGAGCUCUUAUUUCCAACUAUUUGGGGGCUCAUCUGGCAUCCCAUUCUCCUCUAGGGAAGGGUCUCUGAUCACCUCUCAUGAGGAGAUGCGUCCUGCUGCCUCAUUGCAAUGGCCUCAGGAAUAAGGAAUCAAGACCCACCUGGUGUGACGAAUAAACCUGGACUCUCAGCAAUGAAGGAAGAAAAGUCCUACAAAUACUGUGGCGACCAGGUAACUCCUCUGCACACACCAAGGAUUCAAGGCCUCCUAGCGCAAACACCACCUCUCAAAUUCCCAGUCCACCAACAUCAACCCAGAGAUCACAUCCUUGUCAAAAUCUGGAAAGAGGGAAAGCUUGAGCCCACCUGAGAAGAACCUUACCUAGUGCUCCUAACAACUGAGCAGUCCGAACUGCUGAAAAGGGGUGGAUCCAUUAUACCCAAGUCAGAAAGGCACUGCCCUCUCCAAAGCCAUGGACCGUCGUCCCAGGGCCAACUCUCACCAGAGUAACAUUAAAGAGAAAAGCCUAAUCUGUCUUUUUUUCCUCUUCUCUUUCCCUUAGCUGCCUCUCGUCUUAUUAUUAACUUAACUAGGUCAAGCUCACCCCAAAUCCAAAGCAUUACUUUCAAUGCUUGUCUUGCCAUGCCCCGAGGGAAUCUCCAAAGUCAGAGACAGCUAGCCUCCUAGAAAAGCUCUGCCCAUCCACCCCUUCCAAACCCAGCACCACCUAUAACCUUUGCAAUCAACAACCAUGAGCCUUCCAGGGGUUAUGAUAUAGUUGGGGAGCUGUUAUCUGGACUACCAAAUAUCAGGGCUGGACCUCCUCAGAAGGCUGCACCACCCUAAAAUCCUACCUCCACUUCACCAUAGGAAUCACCCCCUCAAAUUGCCAAAUCCACCAGUGCAACCCAGUACUUCUCUCUAUUCUUAUCCCCACCUCCACUGACCCUAACCCCACUUGUCUUUAUGGCCUAGGAAUGGAUGUCACUGGAAAAGACCCCAUAGGCUCCUCUAAAAUAUCUUUCAUUGGCUGGGCGUGGCGGCUCACACCUGUAAUCCCAGCACUUUGGGAGGCCGAGGCAGGCGGAUCACAAGGUCAAGAGAUUGAGACCAACCUGGCCACCGUGGUGAAACCCCAUCUCUACUAAAAAUACAAAAAUUAGCUGGGCAUGGUGGCACAUGCCUGUAGUCCCAGCUACUCGGUAGGCUGAGGCAGGAGAAUCACUUGAACUUGGGAGGCGGAGGUUACAGUGAGCUGAGAUCGUGCCACUGCACUCCAGCAUGGCGACAGAGACUCUGCCUCAAACAAACAACAACAAAACAAAAAUAAAAACAAAAAAAGUUUUGUUAACCCUUCUCCGUCUCCUACCAACUCACCUCCCCCACGCCCACCAAAUCAAACCAUUUUUCGUUUCUUACCUAAUAAUAAAAAAAUAGCCAUAGUAGAAGUCAUGGACCUAAAGCAAACCUUAGCCAUAGAAACCAGAUAUCAAGAUGUUAAUGCCUGGCUGGAAUGGAUUAAAUAUUCCAUUCACACCCUAAAUAAAAGCGAUUGUUACCCUUGUGCAACAGGUAAGCCAGAAACCCAAAUUGUUCCCUUUCCACUCGGAUGGACCUCCAACCAACAGGGCUUGAGCUGUAUGGUAGCUCUCUUCCAAAACCCCACAGCCCGGGGGAAUAAGGCAUGCUAAACUCUCGCUGCUAUUUCUGGAAGUUAAAGGCCCUGUAGGUCAGCCCGAGGGCCUCCGAUUAACAAUGUAAAUUUUACGUGUCUCACGACAGGGGGAAAAUUUGGCAUUCCUUGGAAGCCUAAUGGGAUGUAGUGAGUCCAAGCCUUUUCAGGAGCUAACCAAUAAGUCUGCCCUUGUUCAUCCCUGAGCAUCUGGAUUUAUGGUGGUAUUGUGGUGGGCCACUAUUGGGUACUCUGCCAAGUAACUGGAGGGACACUUGCACUCUAAUCCAAUUGGCCAUCCCUUUCACCCUGGCAUUUCACCAACCAAACAAAAAGAACAAUUGUUAAGAGAAGUCCCCCUUACAUGUCCUUUGACCCUCACAUUUAUAUAGAUGCCAUUGGAGUUCCAUGAGGGGUGCCAAAUGAGUUUAAAACCCAAAAUCAAAUACCUGCAGGAUUUGAAUCUAUAUUGCUCUCAUGGGUAACUGCAAACAAAAAUGUAGACUGGAUAAAUUACAUUAACUAUAAUCAACAAUGGUUUGCUAAUUAUACUAGGGAUUCCAUUAAAGGAAUAGCUGAACAAUUAGGCCCUACCAGCCUAAUGGCCUGGGAAAUUGAAUAGCCCUGGACAUGGUAUUAGCUGAGAAGGGUGGGGUCCAUAUCAUGAUUGGAGUCUAAUGGUGUACUUUUAUCCCCAACAACACAGCCCCGGAUGGAACAAUUACAAAAGCCCUAGCAAAUGAAUUGGCCAAAAAUUCUGGAGUAAAUGACCCCUUCUCUAAUCUCAUGGAAAAAUGGUUUGGCAAAUGGAAGGGACUCAUAACCUCAAUCUUUACCCCCCUUGCAAUUGUUAUAGGUGUACUUAUUCUUGUAGGUUGCUGCAUUAUACCCUGUAUUCAUGGAUUAGUGCAAAGACUCAUAGAAAAAGCUCUCACCAAAACCCCUCUUGCUUCUCCCCCACCCUACUCAGAUAAGCUCCUAUUCCUGAGUGACUAAGAGGAACAAUAAAGUCAAGAUAUGUUAAGGAGACUUGACGAGGAAGAACUACCAAGUCAAGAGGGGGAAAUUUGCCAAACCAUCAGUUCCUCUUCAAACUUCCUUGUUCCUUUUAGCAACUAAUGUCCUUUCACAUUGCUAGAAAGGAUAAAUUCUUGUUCUCUAAACAAGACUUUCCAUCUUUGCUGUGCCUAAACAUGCCCAAAUAUGCCUUAAUGGACAAUCCCUCCCUCCCAACCUUUCUUUACAAGUUACGUGUUUAAAGGUUUCAGUUUACCCUAUUUGGAAAAGUUUUACCACUCCUACCCCUUCUUCCCUGUCUACCCUAUUUGGAAAAAUUUCAAGUUUUAGCCAAUCAGGUUAGCUUAAAUUGUGUGGUCCGACUCCAGCCAAUGGGAAAAGGAUACAGAAACAGAAGCUGCAUUAGGGAUAAAAACCUUUCUCUCCUUUGUUCAGUGUGCUCUUGUGAUUGUGACUGGUGCAGGCAGCAGCACCCUUCUGCGGACGUAAAUUUGCCUUGCUGAGAAGUCUUUUGUUUGAGUGCUCAUUUUCUUUGUGACUCUGAGCUCUUAUUUCCAACACUGGGAUUACAGACAUGUGCCACCAUGCCCAGCUAAUUUUUGUAUUUUUAGUAGAGAUGGGUUUUCUCCAUAUUGGCCAGGCUGGUUUCGAACUCCUGACCUCAGGUGAUCCGCCUGCCUUGGCCUCCCAAAGUGCUAGGAUUACAGGUGUGAGCCACUGUGCCUGGCCAUAAUUCAUUUUAAAAAGUUUAUUCAUUACUUAUAGAGAUGGGAGCUUGCUAUGUUGCACAGGCUGGCCCUGAACUCCUGGCCUCAAGCAAUCCUCCCACCUCAACCUCCACAGUAUCCAGAGUACAGGCGUGCACCAUAGCACCAGGCAACUGAGUGCAAUUCAGCCCCUCCAUAUAUACUGCCAAAUGUUGGUCUCAAAUAUAUACUGCCUCCAUAUAUACUGCCCAGCUGGUCUCAAACUCCUGUCCUCAAGUGAUUCACUUGCCUUGGUUUCCCAAAGUGUUGGGAUUACAAGCAUGAGCUACCAUGCCUGGACUCAAAUAGAUAAUCUUGUUCUUACCAAAGCAGUAACUGAGGAGUGUGCAGGACUCCUCCACCCACAGGUGAUGCUUCUGACAGAUCACAAAGGAAUUUAGAAUUCUAGUUUAACAAUAUCACUCUUUACUCAAGUGGAAGGGAGUAUAUAUUUUUUCCACCUCUGUAAGUAAAGUUCAUUUUAGCAGUUGGUAGAACUGGUGUCCUACCAACUAGGCUAGGUUUUCUACCUAGCCAUGCCUAUUUAUGUCUUUGCAAUCAAGAAAGAUUCUCCAUCCCUGGUAACAAAGCAUCGUCUUCCUAAAGUUCACUUCACUGUAUGAAGAACUGUGAGGAUCUAAAUUCUACAGUAUUUCCCUUUGUGAGUUUAUUAAACUCUAAUGCUAGGCACAUACACGUCUUUGAAAACUGCCUCAAACUUUCUCCUUCCUGGGACUUCCUGUAAAUGAAUUUCAUUCUCACUGUCCCAACAGCUCCAAUCCUAGGAAUUAAUUGAAAAAUAAACUACAAACGUGAGCAGAAAAGCCUUCACAAUGAAUCCUAGAGAAAACAGUUCAAUUAUCUGAAAGGAGUGUUCCUUCCUACACCCAUGCCAGACUCUGAUUUUCCCAUGCUAGCAACUGUGACAUUACAGAAACAUCUGUUCCUGACACUGUUCAACUGUUUAAAUAACCAAGGAGGAGAAAAAAAAGAUUUAUAAUUAAAUAGUAUUUAGGGUCCCAAUAGUCAGAGUCCAAUAAUCCAAAGGUCAUCUAUGCAAAAUUAGGAAUAUGCAUUUUUCUCCAAAGAGUAUCUUUGGCUUUAAUCUGAUUCUCAAAAGGAUCCUAUGAUCCAAGAAAGUUUAAGAACCAUUGAAACAGUAAUUUAUUCCUGA